CAUAACCGCUCUGUUAUACAGAGAGGAAAGUCCAUGCUCACACAGGCUGAGAUGCUUGUAGUGUUCGUGCUUGACGAAACCAUAAGUCAAGGGAGUUAGCAUCUGCUAAUUUACGGCAGGGAAACAAUCUAAGUCCUUUUGGAUAAGAUUGAAUUACCUUUAAAGUGCCACAGUGACGUAUUUUGAUUGGAAACAAUCAAAGUGGAACGCGGUAAACCCCACGAGUGAGCAACCCAAACGAUGGUAGGGGCACUUUUUGCAGGGAAUUCAACCUAGCAAAAAGGUAAGUCAUUUGACUU
rnacentral:RNase_P_RNA from 1 species